rnacentral:lncRNA from 1 species
AGACAGCUUUGCACAGUUUGUCUUUAGAUAAAAUGAAAUGACUUGCUGCGGACGCUGUCAGACUCAGAAGAACAUCUGUCCUGCCUGGAGAUCCUGAUUUCUGACCCCUGCCUGGAGGAGAGCGGCGCUGUGUGCUGUAGAGGGGAGAUAAUGGCCUCUGGCUCCUCAAUCUCUCGCUGUAAUGUGUUUCUGACGCCAGCGAGUGCCUGCGGCCCCUUGGGAGGCACAGGGACGACAUCAUGAUGGAGUGUCAGCAGAAUGAAACGAGAGAAGCCACCCAGAAAGCGAUGACCCGCUGACCCCUGUGGUAAUGCCAGCCUCCAGGCGAGCUGACUUCACACCAGCAGAUGCACACAGCUCUUUCUGUCCUGCUCUUCAGCUGUCCAGGAUCUGGAGCCAUGGAGAGAGAAGAGCUCAAGGACGGGGACAGCAGAGCCGCCGCUGCAGCCCUGCGGGCCUGUUCUGGACUCCACUGUCAGCCAUGAUGGACAGCUGCUGCCCAGGUAUAUCAGGACAAGUGCUUUAUAGGAUAAUGUAGGCGGCUGGUGUCCUGGUUUCUGAUUAUACAUGCACAACAAACCCUCUGCUGUAUGCAAUUAAGUACAAGACCAACAAGAUUAUACAAAUAUAUUCAU